rfam:Bacillus anthracis str. 'Ames Ancestor' plasmid pXO2, complete sequence.
AUUCGAGCAUUGAACGGACAAAGUAGUGUCUAUUUCCCUAUUUCAGAGAGCUGAUGGUUGGUGUGAAUCAGUAUAAAGAUAUGACAUGAAAUUCAUCCUGGAGCAUCUUUCAUGACGAAUUAUUACUUGUGAUGAAAGACGGUAGUUUAUACCGUUAACAAAUAGAGUGGUGAAGUUUCUUCACAACUAGGGUGGUACCGCGAUCAUUUAUCGUCCCUACA